AGGCGAUGCAGCAGAAUAGAUUGAAGCUACAACAGCGAGUCUCACUUCCCUGACAUUGCAAUUAAAAGAUUGAAGCCAUAACGGCGAAUCUCAUUUCCUUGCGGUGUAGUGGAACAGAUUGAAGCUACGAUGGCGAAUCUCGCUUCCCCAACAUUGCAGUCAAAUAGAUUGAAGCUACAACAGCGAAUCUCACAUCAUUGGCGAUACAGUGGAACAGAUUGAAGCUACAACGGCGAACCUUGUUUUCCCGGCAUUGCAGCUAGAAGAUUGAAGCCGCAACGGCGAAUCUUAUUUCCUCAACGGGACCAGGUAAAAAUUGGUCUUUCUUAGUCUUUGCUCUGUUAUCGUUACAUGACAACGAGCAAAGAGGGGCAGCUGUACAAGCCCAAUUUUUAAAAACCCGGGCCCAAUUACAAUACAAAACCUGAAUAGCCCAACAACCCAAAUUUAGCCCCUAACAGACCUAACCCAGCAAAACCAAGCCCAAAUUUACCCAUUUACACCCAAACCCGAAGCCCAAUAGCCAGGCCCAAUUUCCCUAAAAAAUAUCUAACUAGGGUUUCAUUUUCUGAAACCCU
rnacentral:lncRNA from 1 species